GGUGAAAGCAAUGAUCCCUUAUUGAUGUCACUUGUUAAAUCCACUUCAAUCAGUGUCGAUCAAGGGGAGGAGACAGUCCUUUAUGCUGAAAAUGAACAUAGAAGGCUGUUGUAUAAAACACCAUUCUCCGGAAUACAUCUUCAAACUAAGGGCAACCAUGGCAUCCAUGACAGAGAGGGAGAAGCAUUCAUCCAUUUGCUUACAACAGCUUCCUGUGAUCCAUCCAGUCCAGUCCUGUUACCCACCCCACCCCAGCCUGAGUGGACCGGUCCAACCCACAAACCCACAGCACAACUCAUCCGGAACCAAAAACAAAUGCCCACAGGGAACACAAACUAACAUGCGCAUAUGGAAGCUGUGCUACAUCAUUUCAUGCUGUGUGUAUUUUUCUGUCUCCCUCUACAAAGAGCAAGCGCUGGGCUCUGGGAAGGACCAUAAAGUCAGUCAGCAGCCUGAGCAGUUAUGGUUGCACACUGUUUGUUUAGUAACAGUCACCAAACCCUGAGGACUUUGAAUGUCCCUCACCAAGUUCUGGGGUUCUACAUGUGUUGAUUAUGAAAACUAGGAAUGGGUGACAAUGAUGGAGAGCUGUGAACUAAGGAAAACCGAACUGUUCACGAUUUCCACAGAACAGAAGCAUAUAGUUCCAUAGCAACAGUUUGUAUUUGUCAAAGGUGACUAUAAUUUCCAAGAGCUCCAUUUUCCAUAUUUACCACUGGUUUUGUUAUGUUAACUAUGAAUGUGUUAGGCUAUACUAUGAAAAUAUCUAAAUACUAAUCACUGAAUAUGAUGAAUAUGCUUGUUGAGACCUUUCCCCUACUUUGGCUUGCAAGUCUUAUAAAAAAAAUGGGUGAAAUUCGUAACCUCAAAUUGAAUCAAAUCUAGUCUAAUGUCUUUAACAUACAGGUAACUGCCAAAAUAAAGGAAACACCACCAUAAAGUGUCUUAAUAGGGCAUUAGCCACCACGAACAGCUUCAAUGCACCUUGGCAUGGAUUCUACAAGAAUUUAUACAUGACCCCAAGCAUGAUGGGAUGUUAAUUGCUUAAUUAACUCAGGAACCACACCUGUGUGGAAGCACCUGCUUUCAAUGUACUUUGUAUCCCUCAUUUACUCAAGUGUUUCCAUUAUUUUGGUAGUUACCUGUACAUUCAGAUGUGUGUGGGUGAAUGUACACACUUUGAUGUCUCAAACAAACACACAAACAGUUCUGAAACAUCCAGGUGGAAUUGAUCAAAGACUGCUUUAACACACGCCCACAAGGCACUGAAAGGUUAGACAGAAAAUCACCACAAAACAUUAAUGUGUACAAUAUCACACAGCACCGAAGAUCACUGAAAACAUUGUCUAUCACCCAGCCAGUGAACCAAAGACAGAGGUCAAAGGAGUCAGAGUUGGAGAGU
rnacentral:lncRNA from 1 species